rnacentral:rRNA from 1 species
UACGUAGGGUGCGAGCGUUAAUCGGAAUUACUGGGCGUAAAGCGUGCGCAGGCGGUUCGUUAAGUUCGAUGUAAAGCCCCGGGCUCAACCUGGGAAUGGCUUGGAAACUGGCGGACUCGAGUGUGGCAGAGGGGGGUGGGAAUUCCGCGUGUAGCAGUGAAAUGCGUAGAGAUGCGGAGGAACACCGAUGGCGAAGGCAGCCCCCCUGGGCUAACACUGACGCUCAGGCACGAAAACGUGGGGGAG